UUCCUGAGUAAAGUCCACUGGCUGAUUCACUCUCCUUGGACUACAUACAUGUUCUUCAGCAUUUUGAACCUCUGGAAAGUUUUGAAACUAAUCGGAGAAGGAAAUGGCAACCCACUCCAGUAUUCUUGCCUGGAGAAUUCCAUGGACAGAGGAACCUGGUGGGCUACAGUCCAUGGGGUCACAAAGAAUUGGACAAGACUGAGUGACUAACACACUUUGAAACUGAUUAUAGAUACUAUGAUGAAAACAACCUGGACCAGGUGGUUUACACUGUAACUGAAGUUGGAGCGGACUUUAUGCAGAAUGCUACUGAGACACUGAGGCCCUCUGUGCUCAGGGUCACUGACUGUGUGGGCCAAGAAGUCAUGACAAUGCAGAGACCUUUCAAGUGCACGCGCUUCUGCUGUCCCCCCUCUGGGCAAGAGGUCAGAGAAUGAAAGUCUAACCCAUUGUUUCUUCCUGAUCCAACUCUUCACCACAUGGUUGUGCUCUUUCCAAAACCACCGAGAUGGGGAUUGUCACUGGCUCUGACAAGUCAGUAUGUAAGAAGAUUUGGGGAAGGGGGAAAUUUAAUUAAUCAAUUAAAUUAAUUCACCUAAGGAAAAUCACCAAGGGAUUUUCUUAUGGGUUCAUGCUUUUGGUGAUAAUUGGUAGGCCAAGAACAAAUUAGAAUUGUUUAGUCAGUGUGCACAGUUCUAUCAAUUGUGUGUACUGAAUUAGAAAUUUACCUGUCAACUAGAACAGUAGUCACACACUUACCUAAAAUACCUUUGGGUCCCUAGAUAAGGUAUUGGUAAACAUAUACUUACUUUUAGUAUUAGAAGAGAUUUUAGGUGACUUUACACAAUCCAUCACAACCCAUGUCUUGCUACAGAUAAAGAGUGGUUCAAAAGAGUUAAGUGCCUGAUGACGGUGUUAUGUUUGGCAGGUGGCAGUGCCAAAACUAGAAAGCAGAUAUUCUGAAUUACGGUUUGGUUGUGCAUGUGUAUUUCAGUCACUUCAGUCAAGUCUGACUCUGCGACCCUGUGGACAGUAGCCCGCCAGGCUCCUCUGUCCAUGAGAUUUCCCAAGCAAGCAUACUGGAAUGGGUUGCCAUGCCCUCCUCCAGGGGAUCUCCCCGACCCAGGGAUGGAACCCGCAUCUCCUGCAUCUCCUGCAAUGGUAGGCAGAAUUUUUGCCACUAGCACCACCUGGAAAGCCAACUCUUCUCCAAACUGUGCAGCACUCAGAAUAUGGUUUGCUACAAGGAAAAGGAAAGCAGUUUUAAAAAGAGGCCAACCAGAAUUUUGAAUUCCAGAUAUGUCACCCACUUAAAUGCUAUAGUUUAUUUAACUUCUUUGGGACCCAGUGUUCUUGUACUUAAAAAUAGGCACAAUAAUAUCCACAGGAUUUUUUAAAAGACAUGUUUACUAGCAUUUGCUAAAUGUUAAUUUAUUUAUGUUAAUAAUUUAGUAAAUGCUGAUGCUUAAUGAUUAUGUGAUUUGAUUUUCUAUAUAAUAGAGACAAUAAUAGUACUCAUCACUUGGAUCUUUUUGAGGAUUAAAUAAUAAUAAGUGAUAACUGCUCUGAACAGCACCGGGCACAUAGUACAGUGGUGGGAGAAUGUUAUUAAUAUUUAUUUCCAGGUAUCAUACUUUAUCACUACUGCUUUUGUAAUAACAGUCUUAUAUUUGGAAUGAAACUUUAUUUAUAAUCCUUGAUUAUUUUAGAUAUACUAGGAAUUUUUCUUCAUAUUCACAGUUUGAGUUUUCUUCCAAGAUUAAAGUAAGCCGUGAUGUAGUGUGGUUCCAGGGUAAACAAUCUACCUGCCAAUGCAGGAGACACAGAUCUGACCCCUGGGUCGGGAAGGUGCCCUGGAGAAGGAGAUGACAACCCGUUCCAGGAUUCCUGCCUGGGAGAUCCCACGGACAGAGGGGCCUGGUGGGCUUCAGUCCAUGGGGUCAUCAAGAGUUGGACACAACUGACUACACACACACACAUGAUGUAGUAAAGCUAAUCAAAAUUCUAGACUUACUCAAUUUAUGGAACAUUUAUCCCAUGAUAGGUUUUUGGUUUUUCUGACUUCUCCACUCAUGUUUGUGUCACGUGUGUGUGUGUGUUUAGUUCUAUGACAUUUUAUCAGCUGUGUGGAUUCCUGUAUUCACCACAAUACAGAUGCCGAACAGUUCCAUCACCACAAAUAUCCCCUUUUAUAACCACACCCACCAUAGAAUUAGAAAGGGAGCUGCUUGUUUUAUAGAAAGCGAUAGGCAAGCCUCCUCUGUGUCCUGAAGGAAAACAUAGCCCCAUCCUUCAAAGUUUCUUUGUUCAAAGAUAUCCUCGAAGUGUAAGAGUGAAGUGCCGAAGAACCAUGAAGGGCUCUCUCUCCCAACUAUAGUUUCCCUAGUCCUUGAAUAAGAGAAGAGCAUAUCUAGUGUGUGUGUGUGU